rnacentral:rRNA from 1 species
UACGUAGGUGGCAAGCGUUUGUCCGGAAUUACUGGGCGUAAAGAGCGCGCAGGCGGCUGGUCAAGUCCGAUGUGAAAGCUUCCGGCUUAACUGGGAAAUUGCAUCGGAAACUGAUCGGCUUGAAGGUGGGAGAGGGUAGUGGAAUUCCCGGUGUAGUGGUGAAAUGCGUAGAUAUCGGGAGGAACACCAGUGGCGAAGGCGACUUCCUGGCCUGUUCUUGACGCUGAGGCGCGAAAGCUAGGGGAGCAAACGGG